UUCUACAGCCAUGCCCCCCUGAACUUGCGCGAUCUCUUCUGAUCUCAGAAGCUAAGCAGAGUCAGGCCUGGUUAGUACUUGGAUGGGAGACCACCUAGGAAUACCAGAUGCUAUAGGUG
rnacentral:rRNA from 1 species